GAUGAACGCUAGCGGCAGGCCUAAUACAUGCAAGUCGAGGGGUAGAGUUAGCUUGCUAACUUGAGACCGGCGCACGGGUGCGUAACGCGUAUGCAACCUACCUUUAUCUGGGGGAUAGCCCGAAGAAAUUCGGAUUAACACCGCAUAAAAUCACAGUAUCGCAUGAUACAAUGAUCAAAUAUUUAUAGGAUAAAGAUGGGCAUGCGUGUCAUUAGUUAGUUGGCGGGGUAACGGCCCACCAAGACCACGAUGACUAGGGGAUCUGAGAGGAUGACCCCCCACACUGGUACUGAGACACGGACCAGACUCCUACGGGAGCAGCAGUAAGGAAUAUUGGUCAAUGGAGGCGACUCUGAACCAGCCAUGCCGCGUGCAGGAACGACGGCCCCUCUGGGGUUGUAAACUGCUUUUAUUCGGGAAUAAACCUAUCUACGUGUAGAUAGCUGAAUGUACCGAAGGAAUAAGGAUCGGCUAACUCCGUGCCAGCAGCCGCGGUAA
rnacentral:rRNA from 1 species